rnacentral:rRNA from 1 species
UACGUAGGGGGCAAGCGUUGUCCGGAUUUACUGGGCGUAAAGAGCGUGUAGGCGGCCCGCUAAGUCGAACGUGAAAUCCCCGAGCUCAACUCGGGAACUGCGUCCGAUACUGGUGGGCUUGAAUCCGGGAGAGGGAUGCGGAAUUCCAGGUGUAGCGGUGAAAUGCGUAGAUAUCUGGAGGAACACCGGUGGCGAAGGCGGCAUCCUGGACCGACACUGACGCUGAUGAGCGAAAGCCAGGGGAGCAAACGGG